AUGGGCAGGGACACCUUCCACUCUCCCAGGCUGCUCCAACCUGGCCUUGGGCACUGCCAGGGAUGGGGAAUCCUCUGGGAAAUCCAUCCCAGGGCCUGCCCACCCUCACAGGGAGGAAUUCCUUCCCAAUGUCCCAUCCAUCCGUCCCUCCCUCUGGCAGUGGAAGCCAUUCCCUGUGUCCUGGCACUCCAGGCCUUGCCCCCAGUCCCUCUCCAGCUCUCCUGGAGCUCCUUUGGACACUGGAAAAGGCUCCAAGGUGUCUCCAGAGCCUUCCCUUCUCCCAACCUGCUCCCUCCCAGCCCCACGGAUCUCUCUGAGCACAAAUUCACCAGGAACUCUCCAAACCUCAGGGAACUGGGAUCCACAGCGGGCUCUGGGGGAUCUGGGACAGUGCCCUGUGAGCAUGGAGGAGCCACAGGGGUUUGGAGGAUCUGGGACAGUGCCCUGUGUCCAUGGAAAGGUCCGGAGGAGCCACAGGGCUCUGGGAAAGUGCUCUAUGUCUAUGGAGGAGCCAGAGGGCUCUGGGGGAUCUGGGAGAGUGCCCUGUGUCCAUGGAGGAAUUUGGAACAGCCACCGGGAUUUGGGACGGUGCCCUGUGCCCACGGAAGGGUCUGGAGCAGCCAUUGGGCUCUGGGGCUGCAGUGCUGUCCCUGUGUCCACAGACGGACCCAGCAGGAGCAGAAAAGCCCCAGCUCAGCAGGGCAAGGAGCUGCCGGGGCCGCUCCUGCCCAGCCCCUGGAGCCCCGCCAGGAACGCGCGGUGGGAGCGGAGCGGAGCCGCUCCUGCCGGGACCUGCCGAGGCUCGGGCACACCCAGAGAGUCAGAGCUUCGGAAAAAAACCCUCAGCACCUGGGCAGGGGAGGGGCAGGGCCGGCAGGAACCACUUCAGAGCUGAGGAAUCCCAGGCCCUCUAAAUCGUAAAAAAUCCUUACAUCUCUUCCUUUGGAGCCCGAAGGAGAACCAGCCCAGCUCCACCAAGGAGCCCAGCUCCUCCAACUCCUUACAAAGCCUUUCCUGGCCGAGCCUGCCCUGUGUGAGUCAGCUCUGCACAACGCCCGAGUCAGCACUUCCCACAAAGCAGCUGGAGCUGGGCCUGGAAAAACGGAGCCACAUCCCCAGGAGGGACCGGCCGGGACCUGCCGGGCUGGCACGGGGCACGGGGAAUGUGCUGGUGACAGCAGCAGCCAGAAACGCCCAGCAGGACAGAACAGGGAGCAGCUCUGCCGCGCCCCCAGGCACAGCGACAUGGCAGAGCCUCCUGGGAAAGCAGAGCCAGCCCAGCCUUGCCCAGGCUCCUUUGGGAUCCCCCGGGUCAGGUCUGGGAAUCCAGGACAUCCCUUUGGCUCCAGCCCCUGCCAGGGGGCUCAGAGACCCUGGCA
rnacentral:lncRNA from 1 species